AAUCAACGCUGGCGGCGUGCCUAACACAUGCAAGUCGAACGCGAAAGGGGCUUCGGCCCUGAGUAGAGUGGCGUCCGGGUGAGUAACGCGUGGGUAAUCUACCUUCGGUGGGAAGUAACCAGUCGAAGAUUGGCUAUACCGCAUAAUGCAGCGGCACGACAUCGUGACAGUUGUUAAAGAGCAAUCCGCCUGAAGAGGAGCCUGCGUCUGAUUAGCUUGUUGGNGAGGUAACGGCUCACCAAGGCUACGAUCAGUAGCUGGUCUGAGAGGACGGCCAGCCACAAUGGCACUGAAACACGGGCCAUACUCCUACGGAGGCAGCAGUGGGAAGUUUUGCGCAAUGGG
rnacentral:rRNA from 1 species